UUGACCUUCAAUACCAGCAAGAUCACUGGGUUCCUGAAGCCAGGAAAGGUAAAAGUGGAACUGAAAGAAUCCAAAGUUGGACUAUUCAAUGCAGAGCUGUUGGAAGCGCUCCUCAACUAUUACAUCCUUAACACCUUCUACCCCAAGUUCAAUGUUGGCCGAAGGCUUCCCCCUUCCUCUGCUGAAGCGUGUUCAGCUCUACGACCUUGGGCUGCAGAUCCAUAAGGACUUCCUGUUCUUGGGUGCCAAUGUCCAAUACAUGAGAGUUUGAGGACAAGAAAGAUGAAGCUUGGAGGUCACAGCUGGAUCUGCUUGUUGCAUUUCCAGCUGUGCAGCACGUCUCAGAGAUUCUUGAAGAAUGAAGACAUUUCUGCUCUCAGCUCCGGGGGUGAGGUGUGCCUGGCCUCUGCCUCCACCCUCCUCCUCUUCACCAGGUGCAUGCAUGCCCUCUCUGAGUCUGGACUUUGCUUCCCCUCCAGGAGGGACCACCCUCCCCGACUGGCCUGGGAUAUCUUUACAAGCAGGCACUGUAUUUUUUUAUUCGCCAUCUGAUCCCCAUGCCUAGCAGAGUGCUGGCACUUAGUAGGUCCUCAAUAAAUAUUUAUUAAAUGAU
rnacentral:lncRNA from 1 species